GGGAUCAUUACACAAAUAUGAAGGCGGGCUGGAACCUCUCGGGGUUACAGCCUUGCUGAAUUAUUCACCCUUGUCUUUUGCGUACUUCUUGUUUCCUUGGUGGGUUCGCCCACCACUAGGACAACCAUAAACCUUUUGUAAUUGCAAUCAGCGUCAGUAACAAAUUAAUAAUUACAACUUUCAACAACGGAUCUCUUGGUUCUGGCAUCGAUGAAGAACGCAGCGAAAUGCGAUAAGUAGUGUGAAUUGCAGAAUUCAGUGAAUCAUCGAAUCUUUGAACGCACAUUGCGCCCUUUGGUAUUCCAAAGGGCAUGCCUGUUCGAGCGUCAUUUGUACCCUCAAGCUUUGCUUGGUGUUGGGCGUCUUGUCUCUAGCUUUGCUGGAGACUCGCCUUAAAGUAAUUGGCAGCCGGCCUACUGGUUUCGGAGCGCAGCACAAGUCGCACUCUCUAUCAGCAAAGGUCUAGCAUCCAUUAAGCCUUUUUUUCAACUUUUGACC
rnacentral:rRNA from 1 species